CCCUUAGAUGUCCUGGGCGGCCCGCGCGCUACAAUGUCAGCUACUGAAGGUUAAUGCUUUGAAAGAGAGCGCGCUCUCCUUUUAAUUGCUCGCAUGCUGGGAUAAAUGAAUGCAAUUUUGUUUUGAACGAGGAAUUCCUAGUAGCCAUGUUUCACUAGAGGAUGGCGAAUGCGUCCCUGCCCUUUGUACACACCGCCCGUCGCUCCUACCGAUGAGCGUUUUGGCGAAGACGGUUUGAGUAGCUGCGUAAUUUCGUGUUGUUGACUCCGGCAGUUUGAGCCUUCACGUUUAGAGGAAGGAGAAGUCGUAACA
rnacentral:rRNA from 1 species